GAUGAACGCUGGCGGCGUGCCUAACACAUGCAAGUCGAGCGAUCUUCUUCGGAAGAGAGCGGCGGACGGGUGAGUAACGCGUGGGUAACCUGCCUCAUACACAUGGAUAACAUACCGAAAGGUAUGCUAAUACAAGAUGAUAUAAGAGAUUCGCAUGUUUUUCUUAUCAAAGCUUUUGCGGUAUGAGAUGGACCCGCGUCUGAUUAGCUAGUUGGUAAGGUAAUGGCUUACCCAGGCUUCGAUCAGUAGCCGACCUGAGAGGGUGAUCGGCCACAUUGGAACUGAGACACGGUCCAAACUCCGACGGGAGGCAGCAGUGGGGAGUAUUGCACAAUGGGCGAAAGCCUGAUGCAGCAACGCCGCGUGAGCGAUGAAGGCCUUCGGGUCGUAAAGCUCUGUCCUCAAGGAAGAUAAUGACGGUACUUGAGGAGGAAGCCCCGGCUAACUACGUGCCAGCCGCCGCCGUAAGAC
rnacentral:rRNA from 1 species